rnacentral:rRNA from 1 species
UACGUAGGUGGCAAGCGUUAUCCGGAAUCACUGGGCGUAAAGGGCGCGUAGGCGGGAUGGCAAGUCGGUCGUGAAUCCUCGGCCCAACCGAAGAACGUCGGCCGAUACUGCCGUUCUUGAGGGAUGCAGAGGAGACUGGAAUUCCCGGUGUAGCGGUGAAAUGUGUAGAGAUCGGGAGGAACACCGGUGGCGAAGGCGGGUCUCUGGGCAUUCCUGACGCUGAGGCGCGAAAUGCGUGGGGAGCGAACAGG